rnacentral:lncRNA from 1 species
CGCGGGAGCGCUCCCCUCUCGCCGCUUGCCUCGCCCGGCGCAGCCCCGGCCGCCGGGCGCACCCGUCCCGUUCGUCCCCGGACGUUGCUCUCUGCCCCGGGAACGUCGAGACUGGAGCGCCCGAACUGAGCCACCUUCGCGAACUCGGAGCGCGGCGGCCCGACUCAACCGCGGAGGCGCCCGGACGCGUAAAGUCAAGGCCUCAACCCGAAGGCAGCGCCUAAGAAUCGCACUCCCUAGAAUGCUCCAGCACUCACAGGGGCCUUCUCUGGGGUAACGGGACCCCAGCCGGAUACUACAGCUCCAGCUGCUUGCGUCCCAUGCAUCGCCCUCUCGGGAGAGACCAGCUACCUAACUUUCUCUACCAGAGACCGCGCUGGCGUCUCGGGAGGGAUGCUCUGCCCAGGGAGUCCCUCGGUCGCGGGACCUGUGGCCGCCAGAGCAGCUGGAUCUGGAGUGUGCUGCCUGUGAACAGCCUGUGAAAGUGGCUCUUCUCCCUCUGGGUCAGAGGAUGUCUCUGCUCUGGGGGCAAGGGAGUAAACAUCAGCACUUCCCACCUGAAGGAAGCCAUCAGACUCCUUUGCUGUUUCUAGCACUCUUUGUAAGGUCUUUCAGGAGGACUUCAGAAAUCUCCCUGAACGUGCCUGGCUGGGGGUUCCACUCAUGGUUCUAUCCCUAAGCAGGGCUCCUCUGAGCUUACAGAUCAACCCCCCCCCCACUCUCUUUCAGACUUAGGUGGUAAAGUGAGAAGAGACUCUGGCUGGAGAGUCUGAGAGACAGAUUGGGAGCUUCUGGGCGCUGUCUUGGGUAGAGCAAGAGAUAGUUCUCUUCAGCCCAAGAUCCCCUCAUCUCUGGGAGAUACCAGUCUAGGGCUUGUGUCCUGCUUCUUCCUAUAAGGACCUGGGACAGGGAUAUGAGGCCGAUCCUCCCCUUCUCGCAUUAUGUGUGUAGGUGCAUAUGCCAUGUGGCAGCCAUAGUCUGGGACAGAUAGAAGUCCUUCUGGUCCUGCUCUAUGGGACCAGUCACCCCUGAACAUCACCCCUUUCUGAUAUGGGACACUUGGGAAACCCUGCCAUCCACAUUUCUGGACAGGGGCGGGUGUUGUGUGGGAAAUAGGCUACACCCCACACCUCAGGAUUCCAGAGCCUUGGAUGAAGAACCCAGGCCUUCGACUUCCCUGGCAUCCUGUACAGGGGAGCCCACUUUCUGCCUGGACUCUUCUUGAAGGAGCACACUCCCUCUUCCUGGCCCUUCUUCCUCAGUGGCCAGCAGCCUGUUCAGCAGAUGCAUUUCUGUGUUUGCCCAGCAGACCUCCCAGGCUGGCCCAGGCGGGAUCCCUUGGAGAGACUUCUGGGAGGGGCCCAAUAAAGCUUUGUGCAAUGAGAAA